rnacentral:rRNA from 1 species
CGCUGGCGGCAUGCCUUACACAUGCAAGUCGAACGGCAGCACGGGAGCAAUCCUGGUGGCGAGUGGCGAACGGGUGCGUAAUAUAUCGGAACGUGCCCAGUCGUGGGGGAUAACGUAGCGAAAGCUACGCUAAUACCGCAUACGAUCUAUGGAUGAAAGCGGGGGAUCGCAAGACCUCGCGCGAUUGGAGCGGCCGAUAUCAGAUUAGGUAGUUGGUGAGGUAAAGGCUCACCAAGCCGACGAUCUGUAGCUGGUCUGAGAGGACGACCAGCCACACUGGGACUGAGACACGGCCCAGACUCCUACGGGAGGCAGCAGUGGGGAAUUUUGGACAAUGGGCGCAAGCCUGAUCCAGCAAUGCCGCGUGCAGGAUGAAGGCCUUCGGGUUGUAAACUGCUUUUGUACGGAACGAAACGGUGAGCUCUAAUACAGUUUGCUAAUGACGGUACCGUAAGAAUAAGCACCGACUAACUACGUG